rnacentral:rRNA from 1 species
AUUGAACGCUGGCGGCAGGCUUAACACAUGCAAGUCGAACGGUAACAUAAAGGAGCUUGCUUCUUUGAUGACGAGUGGCGGACGGGUGAGUAAUGCUUGGGAAUCUAGCUUAUGGAGGGGGAUAACUACGGGAAACUGUAGCUAAUACCGCGUAGAAUCGGGAGAUGAAAGUGUGGGACCUUCGGGCCACAUGCCAUAGGAUGAGCCCAAGUGGGAUUAGGUAGUUGGUGAGGUAAAGGCUCACCAAGCCGACGAUCUCUAGCUGGUCUGAGAGGAUGACCAGCCACACUGGGACUGAGACACGGCCCAGACUCCUACGGGAGGCAGCAGUGGGGAAUAUUGCGCAAUGGGGGCAACCCUGACGCAGCCAUGCCGCGUGAAUGAAGAAGGCCUUCGGGUUGUAAAGUUCUUUCGGUAGCGAGGAAGGCAUUUAGUUUAAUAGACUAGGUGAUCGACGUUAACUACAGAAGAAGCACCGGCUAACUCCGUG